UACGAAGGUGGCAAGCGUUGUUCGGAUUUACUGGGCGUACAGGGAGCGUAGGCGGUUGGGUAAGCCCUCCGUGAAAUCUCCGGGCCUAACCCGGAAAGUGCGGAGGGGACUGCUCGGCUAGAGGAUGGGAGAGGAGCGCGGAAUUCCCGGUGUAGCGGUGAAAUGCGUAGAGAUCGGGAGGAAGGCCGGUGGCGAAGGCGGCGCUCUGGAACAUUUCUGACGCUGAGGCUCGAAAGCGUGGGGAGCAACA
rnacentral:rRNA from 1 species